GACUGCCCGUUUCAAGGAGACUCUUCAGCCUACAACUCAGUGAGCGGGGAGGUCCACUCCAUCCUCGGUGACCACACCAAGGCUCUGAUUGGUUCAGCUCAUCAUCUUCAAC